rnacentral:rRNA from 1 species
GAAUUUUCCGCAAUGGGCGAAAGCCUGACGGAGCAACGCCGCGUGAGGGAAGAAGGCCUCUGGGCUGUAAACCUCUUUUCUCAAGGAAGAAGAUCUGACGGUACUUGAGGAAUAAGCCACGGCUAAUUCCGUGCCAGCAGCCGCGGUAAUACGGGAGUGGCAAGCGUUAUCCGGAAUUAUUGGGCGUAAAGCGUCUGUAGGUGGUUUGAUAAGUCAACUGUUAAAUCUUGAGGCUCAACUUCAAAAUCGCAGUCGAAACUAUUAGACUAGAGUAUAGUAGAGGUAAAGGGAAUUUCCAGUGGAGCGGUGAAAUGCGUAGAUAUUGGAAAGAACACCGAUGGCGAAAGCACUUUACUGGGCUAUUACUAACACUCAGAGACGAAAGCUAGGGUAGCAAAUGGGAUUAGAUACCCCAGUAGUC